rnacentral:lncRNA from 1 species
UAGGUCAAUUGAAGAAGAGUAGGUGUUUGAUGAAUGCAUAGAGAGAAAGACACGUACACAAUGCAGCCUUUGAAAAGUUGAAGUGAUAAUAAUUUCCCUGCCUGGCUUAUCACUUUCAGACGGGAAAGCAGAAUGACAAAAAUACCCCUAUUUGGCAAUAGUUGAAAAGUGUUCGACAGUUUUCCCUUCUGUAUAAUAUAUCUAUAAUAAGUACAUGUACUGUAUGAAAAAAAUAAAAUAGUACAAUUUAACUUGCUUUUGGUACAACUUUUUUAUUCUAUGUUAGUCCUCUCUAACUGUCUCUUCUAAAUAAGGGUAAGGUAAUGAUAGAACCCAAGGAGAAGCUGAAACAGAGCAAUAAUCACACAUACAUGAUACGACUCAAAUUUGAACUUGGAAAAGAGAUUGUUACCUGAACUGUAUUUGCUCUUUCUGCGUGUUUGGAAAUUUCAACAAUGGCAAAGCGCAAAAUUUAUUAAUUCCCUGUAAAUAAAUAGACAAAAUAAAGGAAAAAUCAAAGAAAUUAAGAACGUUUGAUAGUAUUUUCUCUACAAUUUGAAGAGCUUUAGAAAGAAUAACCUAGAAUGAAA